UACGGUUAAGCUAAUAAGAGCACACGGAGGAUGCCUAGGCGCUAGGAGCCGAAGAAGGACGUGGCGAACGACGAAAUGCCUCGGGGAGCCGUAAGCAGGCUUUGAUCCGGGGAUGUCCGAAUGGGGGAACCCGGCUGUGGUAAUGCGCAGUUACUCAUCACUGA
rnacentral:rRNA from 1 species